ACUGCCUCGGCGGAGGGGCCCGGCGGGAACAAACAGCCGCCGCGGCGGGAGCUGGCUCGGGUGGCUGGAGGCGGGUCCUCCUCCGCCCGCAGAUCCCGCAAACGCUCCGCUCCCCGGAGCCGCCGCCUGGAGCCAGUGCGCUCAGCCCCUGGAUGUUAAGGUCCACGCGGGCGCCAAACGGAGCCGGGAGAAGUAGCGACAGCCCCCACCCUUCAUCUACCCAAGGCAGCGCCCUGGGCCACCAAGGCCGAAGCGCAGUUGGAGCUCGAGCGGGAGCCUGAGACGGCCCGACCUAAGCCGCCCGAGCUGGGCCCGCCGGAUCCCAAGCGGCUUCCGGCCCAAGGGGAGACGCACUUGAGUGACCGCGAGGAGCAAACUUGGCGCUCUCAGCCUCGGGCCUCGGAGAGGUGAGAGAUUCCGGCUGCGCCCCUCUCCUCCCUUCCAAAGCCGAGACCCCGCCACACAUCCUCUUGCUGCGGCGCGGGACCCCGGACGCAGAAGUGUGUGCGGGGAGACCCGGGGAGCGCGUCGCCUGUCCGUCGCCCUCUCCCCGAAGCUUAUGUGCGGCGCUUCGGCCGCAUUCCGGGAGCGCGGACCGACCCAUCGCUCUGAGUUUGCCUGCACCCUGCCCUUUUCGGUCCGGGUAUCCGUUUGUCUUGGGCUCUGUGACUCUGUCUCUCGCCUUCGGUGAAUCUCUGCCUUGUUUCCUGUGGAAACCCUGCAUUUGUCUGGGUGUCUCUUCGUGGGUCCGAGAAUCCCUCGCUCCAUUUCCCUACCCCCAGUCGCACUGCAGGGCUGCUCCCCCUUUCUGGCCGGACUUGUAGGCUCUACGGACCGGCCACAGGACCCCGACAGACACCUUCCUCAAUGAACCCUGACCUCAGCCCCAGGCCCGCGUUGUCUCGUCUCUCAGGAGCCCGUGCACACAAGACGUGCUGUUCUCGACUUAGGGAAAACGACAGCUAUCAGAUGGUUUUGAGAAUAUAAUGAAGUCAAUCGCGAAAGUGGCGAAGAGCGGCGCUGAGCGAGCAGGAGGCGGGACGCGGAGCGGACCGACCUCACGCGCGGCCUCCCCGCCGGAUGAAUUCUGCGAGCACAGUACGGCCUCAGCCGGGCAGGGGGACACCACGCCCGCACACUUCUCCAAUUUUAUUCACAAACCUUGCCAGUCUCGGGGAAAGCUGCGAGACCCGCGCAGCCGCCCCCUCUUUCCGUUCCUCCAUCGGCUGCAGCUCGGGUGUGGGGGAUGGGGGCGACAGUUGUUUGGCGGAAGCCGGGGCAUCUCCGCUUGUUCCAGAGCGAUCGGCUCCCUUGGCCCGGGCGGGAGGCGGGAGAUUCCAGAUCAGGAGACCUGAGAGGAAGAACCUCAGGCGGCGGGGCUCCCCACACACAGGAGCAGGGCCCCGGGUCAGAGUUCAGAGAGAGGCCGGACCCACAGCAAGCAGAGAAAUGACAGGGCUCCCCGCCUGUGUGCCUUCGCCCCAGCCCACCACCCGUCCUCCCCCAAGCGCCUCUGAACUGCUCCCCACACCUCCACGUACCCCCCACUUCUCAGAAAAAAAUGUCUUUCUCUUCUUUCACCAUGCCUGGCCACAGCCGCCUCCCGGCACCCCCAUCCUGGGACUACGUAGUGGGGGGGCUCCCUUGAGCCCCAGCACCGAGCAGCGGUUGAGACCCGAACGAGCUGCGGAGCCGGUCGACUCUGGUUCGCGGGAAGAGGGUUGCGGGCCCAGGCAAGGGUGAAAACAGCGCGGCUCCGCAGCCGCCCAACCUGGGGCUCUGGCUUCGCAGCGACCGCGGUGCGACAGGCUCCCCUCGCAGGGGAGACGCACAGCUGGGGGCAAGGGAGAGGGGACGCUUCCAGGUGUGUCGGAGCGUCAGCCUCAGGUCUGAGUGCCCCUACUGUCUAAGUGCGUCCCGGGUUUUUGCGAACGAGGGUCUGUUUCUCCUCCCUCCGCGUGCGUGUGCCCCUCCGGACGCCGGUGGCUCUGUGUGUCCGACCCGCGCCUGUCCCGAGUGCUCCCCUGCCAAACGCACGAUGGGUGCGGGGACUGCCCUGGAAGCCUCGCCGGCCAAAACCACCGCUCUGCCCCAGCGCCGGAAGCGGCGCGACGUGGCUGGGACUGCGAACCCACUCCAGGUCCGCAGCGUGACCCUGGCGGGGAAGGAGGAUGUGUGAGGGUGCAAGCCUGGGUGUGGGUUUGGGACGAGAGCCGGGGGAGAGAGAGGAGAGCGCACGGGCACGGCGCGGCGGAGAGCCGGGAAGAGUGUAGCGGCGGCCUCCUGCCCACCAACUGGAGGCCACCCGCUGGAGCAGCAAGACCUCGGGACCCCGACGCCCUUCCGCAGCCCUGAAGUGGGGCAAGGCGGGAGGGAAGGGAGGAGGGGCCCAGCCGUCCGAACCCGGUAACCGGCGCAACACGCACAUGCGCGCGCCGUCGCGUUUAGCCUUUCGGAGCCCCAGGCAGGGUUGCUGGUGAAACCGUAAGCCCCUGCGUGGUUGGGGAAAUGAUGCCGGGUGCCUGACCCCUCUGGGAUGCGGAGCCGCGUAAGCCCCACCGAAGCAGAGCGAGGGGACCAGAGGGCGUCUCGGCCUUGCCAUGUAGACCCGGUGACCGAUUCCUGGGGAACAGCGACCUCUGGAGGAGCGGCGCGUCCACGCAGAGAGUCAGGAACUGGACGACCAGGGUGGAGAUAAUAAUUGUACCUACCUCGCUGAGUUCUCGUGAGGAUUAAAUGAGCUAAUGUGUAUAAAGCCCUCAGCCCAGUGCCUGAAACUGUGAAAAAGCUCAUCAAACAUUUCUCAUCAUUAUCAGUCACUCUGCCUCCUGCCAGCCACAAAACCCAACACACGGUGUAAUGACGUUCUGCGAGUUCGAGUUGAAUUUCACAAACAGCAGAGCCAUAAGAGAGGAGGAUCCUGGGUCCCUAAAACCUUUGAGGUGCCAUACCGCCCUGAACUGCCUCAAGACUUACGGGGAAAGGAAAUACAUUUCAAUAUUGGUUAA